GCGGAGGUGGCGAAAUUGGUAGACGCACUACUUUGAGGUGGUAGCGCCUUCAUCGGCGUGGGAGUUCGAAUCUCCUCUUCCGCA
rnacentral:tRNA from 2 species